AACGCACCUUGCGCCCUCCGGUAUCCCGGUGGGCAUGCCUGUUCGAGCGUCAUUUAGUCCGUCAAACAUCGCUUGGUGUUGGGCGCCUCGUCCCUCGAUCACCCGGGACGGCCCCGAAAGGAAUCGGCGGCGGAACGUGGCCUCGGGCGUAGCGGAAUCAUCGUGCAAACGACGCCCGCCGGGUCCACGGCACCGUCCGGCCCCCCAGAAAUCACCGUGCAUCCGCGCGGGAAACCCCACGAGAUUGACCUCGGAUCAGGCAGGAGUACCCGCUGAACUUAA
rnacentral:misc_RNA from 1 species